rnacentral:rRNA from 1 species
GACGGAGGAUGCAAACGUUAUCCGGAAUGAUUGGGCGUAAAGCGUCUGCAGGUGGCAGUUCAAGUCUGCUGUCAAAGACCGGGGCUUAACUUCGGAAAGGCAGUGGAAACUGAACAGCUAGAGUAUGGUAGGGGCAGAGGGAAUUCCUGGUGUAGCGGUGAAAUGCGUAGAGAUCAGGAAGAACAUCGGUGGCGAAGGCGCUCUGCUGGACCAUAACUGACACUCAGGGACGAAAGCUAGGGGAGCGAAUGGG